UACGUAGGGUGCGAGCGUUAAUCGGAAUUACUGGGCGUAAAGCGUGAGCAGGCGGUUUUGUAAGCCGGAUGUGAAAUCCCCGGGCUUAACCUGGGAAUGGCAUUCGGGACUGCAAGGCUGGAGUGCGGCAGAGGAGACUGGAAUUCCUGGUGUAGCAGUGAAAUGCGUAGAUAUCAGGAGGAACACCGAUGGCGAAGGCAGGUCUCUGGGCUGACACUGACGCUCAUGCACGAAAGCGUGGGGAGCAAACAGG
rnacentral:rRNA from 1 species